rnacentral:rRNA from 1 species
AUGGCCAUAACAAGGGAGAGCUUGGAACAAAUAUGGAACCAGUGGGAAAUCGAGCUGGUGGUGCUCCUCAGCUUCACCCUGCAAAUCUUUCUCUUCUUCACCGGCUGUAUCAGGCGGUACAGCACCAAUGCUCUGCUCAGGCUUCUUACCUGGCUAGCAUAUGUUGCGGCAGACAUGGUUGCUGUAUACGCCCUUGGUCUCAUAUCCAGAGAUGGUCAGAGUACCAUGUCAUCGGCUGGAUCAUGCCACCGGAACAAGCGAUCAAACAGAUUCUCCACGGGCACAAGCCGCCAACUAGCAUUCUUCUGGGCGCCUUUCCUCCUCGUCCAUCUCGGCGGGCAGGACACCAUAUCGGCUUUCUCCAUCGAGGACAACAACCUCUGGCUGAGGCACCUUCUGAAUCUGACCAUCCAAGUCUCGUUAGCCUUAUACGCCUUUUGGAAGUCGAUAGGUGGACAAAAUCAGCGGCUUCUUGCUCCAGGCAUCUUGGUGUUUGUCACCGGGAUCAUCAGGUAUGGGGAGAGGAUAUGGGCGCUCAAGUGCAGUAGCCGAAAUGGCCUAAGGGAGACGAAUCUGCCUCCAUUGCCUAAACUCAAUUUUGAGGUCGACAAAGGCAGCUAUGUUGGCACCAUCUGCUACGUUCUAGGCUCAAUGGUUUGUAUCCGGGAUCUUUUCUCAGGGCGCACCACCUCCCAAAUGAAAGAGCGUGCUGUCUUCAGGUUCCAAGAAGACAGGCCCCUAGACCAGGUGCCCAAGUUGCUGGAGGUCGAGCUUGCCAUGAUGUAUGAUGAUCUCUUCACGAAGGCCAUGUUGCUCAGAACAAGGACUGGGGUUGUGCUCCGGUGCAUCAGCCAAUUCUCAGUCAUAGCUGCCUUUGUGCUCUUCCUAGUUGAAAACCUCAAACAAGAACAUAAUAGAGCUGAUGUCGCAAUCACCUAUGCGUUAUUCUUGGGUGGCUUCAGUCUUGAAGUUUGUGCUUUUGUUCUGACUGUGAUGUCACCGUGGACUUGGGCAUUCUUCAAAGCUCGAAGGUGCGAUAGGCUUGCCCACAUUUCUUGGCUUCUUCUUUCAAGUGGCAUUGGCUGGCCGGAGAAGAGACCGUUGUGGUCGAACUCUAUGGGGCAGUAUAACUUCUUGACUUCAUGUAUGGGCCGUGAGCAAUCAACGACAUCAUCCAAACUAAUGACUAUCAUCAGAAAGAUUUUAAUUGCAGUUGAGAAGAAGGUCUUUAUCAGAAACCUACAACACACCAAGCAUGUCAAUCUGAGCAAGGAUGUUAUGGACAGUGUGGUCACAUGGGUUGGACGCCUUGCUCGCGAAGAAUUCACAAGGAUAACGCAGCAGCAACGCUGGGUGAAUCUUCGCCCAAUCAUCAACCCGACAAUGAAUACUUUAGCUAAUUCUUUGGGUGAUAACAUCAUCUUCUUACAUACAUACACAGAAUUGCACUUGCAGAAACACUCCAGCAACAUGGAUGACGAGACAAUAUCAACUACAAUGGACAUAUGCAGGAAGAUAUCUAACUAUAUGGUGUACCUUCUGGUCGUGCAUCCUUCCAUGUUGCCGCUAAGUGGCACCGCAGCGGACACAUUAGCAAAAUUCUACGAGAAGAUCAGCAAGAACGGCAGCGGCAAGCAAGAUGUCCUGGACACUGCUUAUCAGCUAGUGACAGACAAGCUGGAGUUCGGCGACGAGGAAUGCCUGAAAGAACAGGAGCAACCUGGGCCGUGGGGCGAGACGCUGACGGAGAUCCAAGAUAUGUGGAUGAGGCUGCUGCUCUACGCGGCCGGCAAGUGCCCGGUAGAGCUGCACGCCCAGCAGCUAGGCAGAGGAGGGGAGCUCCUCACCUUGGUCUGGUUGCUGAUGGCGCAUAAUGGCAUUGGAAAUGUUGGUCAUCAGGUUGAACUUAUAACUAAUGAUGAAACAAUGGUUGGGCAGUUCUGUGCAUUCCAUUAUCCUAAAGAAUCAAAACAUAGGCGACUCCACGGGGCAACGGGGCGGCGGCCGCCGGCCAGCUGCCCUCGGCUUCAUCGCCUUGCCCGCGGGUCGGCGGCCGAUUCUGGGCGCUGGCCGGAUCUGAUGACGAGGAGGCGGACGGGGACAGUGAUAAUCCGGCGGCUUCACCGCCAACACCGACCCCUUCCGACAUGUUUUGCGAGUUUUUCCUUGCAGGGUAUGAUGAAGACGAGGUUGCCACUACGGUAG